rnacentral:rRNA from 1 species
GCGUGGGUGAAGAAGGCCUGCGGGUUGUAAAGCCCUUUCAGAGGGGAGGAAAGCCCUGCCGUGAACAGCGGCGGGGGUUGACGUAACCCUCAGAAGAAGCACCGGCUAACUCUGUGCCAGCAGCCGCGGUAAUACAGAGGGUGCGAGCGUUAAUCGGAAUCACUGGGCGUAAAGCGUGCGCAGGCGGCGCGCCGAGUCGGAUGUGAAAGCCCCGGGCUUAACCUGGGAACCGCAUCCGAUACCGGCGUGCUCGAGUCUGGCAGAGGGAGGCGGAAUUCCGGGUGUAGCGGUGAAAUGCGU